UCUUUAUUCCGUGGAUCUCUCUUUGUAGCAGAGAACUGUUUAUAGACAAAGAUUAGAGCUCGAGUGGUCUUCAAGUUAAAGAUACAUAGUUUGUAUUUUGUUUGUAGUCUUCUGUGUUUAUAACAUUUUAUGUUGACAAGAUUGCUAAUAAUUUCCAUGUAUUCUCUUGUGUCACUAUGGACACCUGUUUCCA